rnacentral:rRNA from 1 species
AUGCCCUUGCGCUCCAGAGCUCCCAUCCAAAGCACCAGACAGUGUGGCAUUCCCUCUUUUGCUAGCCUCAUGGCCUUGAACCAACCAGCCAUAGCCAUGGGUCUCCUCGUCGUCUUGGUGCUUGCCGCCAUGGCACAGGUGGCGUACUGCGCGGGUGGUGGCACCACCCAGAACUACCGCGAGGCGCUGGCCAAGAGCAUCCUCUUCCUCGAGGCCCAGCGGUCCGGCGUGCUCCCCGCCAGCCAAAGGGUCGGCUGGAGGUCCAACUCCGGCCUCCAGGACGGGAAGGCCAACGGGGUGGAUCUCACGGGCGGCUACUACGACGCCGGCGACAACGUCAAGUUCGGGCUGCCGAUGGCGUUCACGGUGACCAUGAUGUCGUGGAGCGUCCUCGAGUACGGCGGGCAGAUGCAGGCGGCCGGCGAGCUCGGCAACGCCCUGGAGGCCAUCAAGUGGGGCACCGACUACUUCGUCAAGGCGCACCCGGAGCCCAGCGUGCUCUACGGAGAGGUGGGAGACGGUGACACCGACCACUUCUGCUGGCAGCGGCCGGAGGAGAUGACGACGAGCCGUCAGGCGUACCGCCUCGACCCCCAGCGCCCGGGCUCCGACCUCGCCGGAGAGACCGCCGCCGCAAUGGCCGCGGCGUCGCUCGUGUUCCGCCGCUCCAACCCGGGAUACGCGAACCUACUCCUGCAACACUCCAAGCAGCUGUUUGAUUUCGCCGACAAGUUCCGGGGAAGGUACGACGCCAGCAUCCCUGUGGCGAGGAAAUAUUACCAGUCAGUCAGCGGAUACAGCGACGAACUGCUGUGGGCGGCGGCGUGGCUGUUCCAGGCGACCGACGACCGGCGCUACCUGGACUACCUUGCUAACAACGCCGACGCGAUGGGCGGCACGGGCUGGUCCACCGCCAUGUUCAGCUGGGACAUCAAGUACGCCGGCGUGCAGGUCCUCGCCGCCAAGAUCCUGCUGCAAGGCAGAGCCGGCGCGCACGCCGCCGUGCUGCAGCGGUACCGGCAGAAGGCCGACUUCUUCGUGUGCGCGUCCCUCGGCAAGCAGGGCUACGGCAACGUCAAGCGGACGCCCGGCGGCCUCUUGUAUCACAUGCAGUGGAACAACCUCCAGUACGUGACCAGCGGGUCGUUCCUCCUGGCCGCCUACUCCGACAGCCUCGCCGCCGCCCGGCAGGCCGCCGUGUGGUGCCCGGCCGGGCCGGCGUCGCCCGCGCAGAUCAUGGCGUUCGCCAAGUCCCAGGUGGACUACAUCCUGGGGAGCAACCCGAGGGCGACGAGCUACAUGGUCGGGUACGGCUUCAUCUACCCGCUGGAGGCGCACCACCGGGGCGCGUCCAUCGUGUCCUUCCAGUCCAACCCGUCGUUCGUGGCCUGCAAGGCCGGGUACGCGAUCUGGUACCCCCGCAAGGGCAGCAACCCGAACCUGCUCGACGGCGCCAUCGUCGGCGGGCCGGACGAGAACGACAACUUCGUCGACGACAGGAACAACUACCAGCAGACCGAGGCGCCCACCUACAACAAUGCGCCGUUCAUGGGCGUGCUCGCUCGGCUCGCCGCCGGCGGCCGGCUUGAUCGGUCAAUUCCAGAUGGGCUUGACAACCAGACCUCAGUAGCGCCAUCUCUUUCUGCUGCCGGCGAUCAAGGUGUGCACGCGUCGCCGAUCGUGAUCGAGCAGAACGCGACGGCGUCCUGGACGGAGAAGGGCCGGACGUACCGCCGGUACGCGGUGACGGUGACCAACAGGUCGCUGAACAAGACGGUGCACGAGCUGUUCCUCGGCAUCGACAAGCUCUACGGCCCGGUGACGGGGCUCGACAAGAAGCGGUAUGGCCACGUGCUCCAGGGCACGGCGCCGUCGGUGCCCGCUGGCGGGAGCGUCACGUUCGAGUACGCCCACGCCGCGCCGCCGGCGAACGUCUGGGUCACCGGCUACAAGCUCGUCUGA